rnacentral:rRNA from 1 species
AGUGAACGCUGGCGGUAGGCCUAACACAUGCAAGUCGAACGGCAGCACAGUAAGAGCUUGCUCUUACGGGUGGCGCGUGGCGGACGGGAGAGGAAUACAUCGGAAUCUACUUUUUCGUGGGGGAUAACGUAGGGAAACUUACGCUAAUACCGCAUACGACCUACGGGUGAAAGCAGGGGAUCUUCGGACCUUGCGCGAUUGAAUGAGCCGAUGUCGGAUUAGCUAGUUGGCGGGGUAAAGGCCCACCAAGGCGACGAUCCGUAGCUGGUCUGAGAGGAUGAUCAGCCACACUGGAACUGAGACACGGUCCAGACUCCUACGGGAGGCAGCAGUGGGGAAUAUUGGACAAUGGGCGCAAGCCUGAUCCAGCCAUACCGCGUGGGUGAAGAAGGCCUUCGGGUUGUAAAGCCCUUUUGUUGGGAAAGAAAAGCAGCAGGUUAAUACCCCGCUGUUCUGACGGUACCCAAAGAAUAAGCACCGGCUAACUUCGUG